rnacentral:tRNA from 1 species
GGCGAAGUAGUUCAAAUGGUUAGAACGUUGGAAUCAUAAUCCAAAAGCUGUGGGUUCAAAUCCUAUUUUCGCUA